GAGGAAAGUCCGGGCUCCAUAGGACAAGGGCGCCAGGUAACGCCUGGGGGGCGCAAGCCCACGGAAAGUGCCGCAGAAAGCAAACCGCCUAAGCCGCCAUCGCUUGCGAUGGCGGACGGUAAGGGUGAAAGGGUGCGGUAAGAGCGCACCGCGCAUCUGGCAACAGAUGUGGCAGGGUAAACCCCGCCCGGAGCAAGGCCAAAUAGGAAUCCUUCUGGUGUGGUCCGCAUCGGAUUCGGGUAGGCUGCUCGAGGCGUCCGGCGACGGGCGCCCUAGAUGAAUGACUGUCAGACUUAGAAGACGCUCGCGUUUUUGCGGUCAACAGAACCCGGCCU
rnacentral:RNase_P_RNA from 1 species